CGGGGAAUUUUGGACAAUGGGCGCAAGCCUGAUCCAGCCAUGCCGCGUGUGUGAAGAAGGCCUUCGGGUUGUAAAGCACUUUCGGACGGAACGAAAUCGCGCGAGUUAAUAGCCCGCGUGGAUGACGGUACCGUAAGAAGAAGCACCGGCUAACUACGUGCCAGCAGCCGCGGUAAUACGUAGGGUGCGAGCGUUAAUCGGAAUUACUGGGCGUAAAGCGCGCGUAGGCGGAUCUGCAAGUCAGGGGUGAAAUCCCGAGGCUCAACCUCGGAACUGCCCUUGAUACUGCGGGUCUCGAGUCCGAGAGAGGUGAGUGGAAUUCCUAGUGUAGAGGUGAAAUUCGUAGAUAUUAGGAAGAACACCAGUGGCGAAGGCGGCUCACUGGCUCGGUACUGACGCUGAGGCGCGAAAGCGUGGGGAGCAAACAGGAUUAGAUACCCUGGUAGUCCACGCCGUAAACGAUGUCAACUAGCCGUAGGGAGCAUCUGGCUCUUUGUGGCGCAGCUAACGCGAUAAGUUGACCGCCUGGGGAGUACGGCCGCAAGGCUA
rnacentral:rRNA from 1 species